rnacentral:rRNA from 1 species
GAUGAACGCUGGCGGCGUGCCUAAUACAUGCAAGUCGAGCGAACAGACUAGUAGCUUGCUCCUCUGACGUUAGCGGCGGACGGGUGAGUAACACGUGGAUAACCUACCUAUAAGACUGGGAUAACUUCGGGAAACCGGAGCUAAUACCGGAUAAUCUAUUUAACCGCAUGGUUCAAUAUUGAAAGACGGUUUUGCUGUCACUUAUAGAUGGAUCCGCGCCGCAUUAGCUAGUUGGUAAGGUAACGGCUUACCAAGGCGACGAUGCGUAGCAGACCUGAGAGGGUGAUCGGCAACACUGGAACUGAGACACGGUCCAGACUCCUACGGGAGGCAGCAGUAGGGAAUCUUCCGCAAUGGGCGAAAGACUGACGGAGCAACGCAGCGUGAGUGAUGAAGGUCUUCGGAUCGUAAAACUCUGUUAUUAGGGAAGAACAAAUGUGUAAGUAACUAUGCACGUCUUGACGGUACCUAAUCAGAAAGCCACGGCUAACUACGUG